UGUGGUGUGAGCCUUCAGCCUCAUUACCUGUAGAAGAGGUAGAUAUACCUAUCUGUUAACUUCUGCUCUGUCCUCGUGGGAUCAUAUCUAUUGCAGGGCAUGUCCACUGCAGGCUGGGUGCCUGCGUGCCGCCAGCUUAGAUUUUUGCAGGACACAUACCUGUGCUCUUCAGUUUUCUGAUUGGGAUCUUCUACUAGUCUGCUUCUAGCCUCUGAUGUUUCCCCAUGGUUUUCCCCUGGACAGAAUUGGGUAGAAAGAAGGAAGAAGAAAAGCCUUUUAUUUCUGCAGGACAUAGCCAAAUGCAC